rnacentral:tRNA from 1 species
GAGGAUAUAGCUUAAUGGUAGAGUGCAUGCUUAGCAUGCACAAGGUCCUGGGUUCAAUCCCCAGUACCCCUG